UACGAAGGGGGCUAGCGUUGCUCGGAAUCACUGGGCGUAAAGCGCACGUAGGCGGAUCUUUAAGUCAGGGGUGAAAUCCUGGAGCUCAACUCCAGAACUGCCUUUGAUACUGAGGAUCUUGAGUCCGGGAGAGGUGAGUGGAACUGCGAGUGUAGAGGUGAAAAUUCGUAGAUAUUCGCAAGAACACCAGUGGCGAAGGCGGCUCACUGGCCCGAUACUGACGCUGAGGUGCGAAAGCGUGGGGAGCAAACAGG
rnacentral:rRNA from 1 species